rnacentral:rRNA from 1 species
UCGAGGGGCAGCACGAUGUAGCAAUACAUUGGUGGCGACCGGCGCACGGGUGAGUAACGCGUAUGCAACCUACCUAUCAGAGGGGAAUAACCCGGCGAAAGUCGGACUAAUACCGCAUAAAACAGGGGUUCCACAUGUAAAUAUUUGUUAAAGAAUUAUCGCUGAUAGAUGGGCAUGCGUUCCAUUAGAUAGUUGGUGAGGUAACGGCUCACCAAGUCCACGAUGGAUAGGGGUUCUGAGAGGAAGGUCCCCCACACUGGUACUGAGACACGGACCAGACUCCUACGGGAGGCAGCAGUGAGGAAUAUUGAUCAAUGGGCGAGAGCCUGAACCAGCCAAGUCGCGUGAAGGAUGAAGGAUCUAUGGUUUGUAAACUUCUUUUAUAUGGGAAUAAAGUGAGGAACGUGUUCCUUUUUGUAUGUACCAUAUGAAUAAGCAUCGGCUAACUCCGUGCCAGCAGCCGCGGUAAUACGGAGGAUGCGAGCGUUAUCCGGAUUUAUUGGGUUUAAAGGGUGCGUAGGUGGUUAAUUAAGUCAGCGGUGAAAGUUUGUGGCUCAACCAUAAAAUUGCCGUUGAAACUGGUUGACUUGAGUAUAUUUGAGGUAGGCGGAAUGCGUGGUGUAGCGGUGAAAUGCAUAGAUAUCACGCAGAACUCCGAUUGCGAAGGCAGCUUACUAAACUAUAACUGACACUGAAGCACGAAAGCGUGGGGAUCAAACAGGAUUAGAUACCCUGGUAGUCCACGCAGUAAACGAUGAUUACUAGCUGUUUGCGAUACACAGUAAGCGGCACAGCGAAAGCGUUAAGUAAUCCACCUGGGGAGUACGCCGGCAACGGUGAAACU